rnacentral:rRNA from 1 species
UACGUAGGGACCAAGCGUUGUUCGGAUUUACUGGGCGUAAAGGGCGCGUAGGCGGCAUGUUAAGUCAGCUGUGAAAUCUCCGAGCUUAACUCGGAACGGUCAGCUGAUACUGAUGUGCUAGAGUACAGAAGGGGCAAUCGGAAUUCUUGGUGUAGCGGUGAAAUGUGUAGAUACCAAGAGGAACACCUGAGGUGAAGACGGGUUGCUGGGCUGAUACUGACGCUGAGGCGCGAAAGCUAGGGUAGCAAACGGG